UUAACUCAAAACUGUAUGGAGUUGGAACGUUUGCUUACGUUUGCCGCUAGGGGCGCUGUUCCAACUGCAUACAAAUUUGAGUUA
rfam:Bombyx mori DNA, contig: Bm_scaf3_contig2492, strain: p50T/Dazao, build 2, whole genome shotgun sequence.